rnacentral:misc_RNA from 1 species
GUGAGUCAUCGAAUCUUUGAACGCACAUUGCGGCCAUAGGUAUUCCUUUGGCCAUGCCUGUUCGAGCGUCAUUUACACCCUCAAGCCUAGCUUGGUGUUGGGCGUCUGUCCCGCCGUUCUCGCGCGCGGACUCGCCUCAAAGUCAUUGGCGGCGGUCGUGCCGGCCCCCUCGCGCAGCACAUUUGCGCUUCUCGGAGGCCCGGCGGAUCCGCGCUCCAGCAAGACCUUUCACGACUUGACCUCGGAUCAGGUAGGGAUACCCGCUGAACUUAAGCAUAUCAAUAAGCGGAGGA